GAUUAACGCUAGCGGCAGGCAUAAUACAUGCAAGUUGAACGGCAGCACAGGUAGCAAUACUGGGUGGCGAGUGGCGCACGGGUGCGUAACACGUAUGCAACCUACCCUAUACAGGCGAAUAACCUUUAGAAAUGAGGGCUAAUACGCCGUAGUAUUACAGAUGGGCAUCUAUUUGUAAUUAAAGAUUUAUCGGUAUAGGAUGGGCAUGCGUCCCAUUAGUUAGUUGGUAAGGUAACGGCUUACCAAGACGAUGAUGGGUAGGGGAUCUGAGAGGACUUACCCCCACACGGGGACUGGGACACGGACCAGACUCCUACGGGAGGCAGCAGUAAGGAAUAUUGGGCAAUGGCAGCGAGGCUGACCCAGCCAUGCCGCGUGCAGGAAGACGGCCUUAGGGGUUGUAAACUGCUUUUAUACGGGAAUAAUAGAGUGUACGCGUACAUUUAUGCAAGUAUCGUAUGAAUAAGCAUCGGCUAACUCCGUG
rnacentral:rRNA from 1 species